UACGAAGGGGGCUAGCGUUGCUCGGAAUCACUGGGCGUAAAGGGUGCGUAGGCGGGUCUUUAAGUCAGGGGUGAAAUCCUGGAGCUCAACUCCAGAACUGCCUUUGAUACUGAAGAUCUUGAGUUCGGGAGAGGUGGGUGGAACUGCGAGUGUAGAGGUGAAAUUCGUAGAUAUUCGCAAGAACACCAGUGGCGAAGGCGGCUCACUGGCCCGAUACUGACGCUGAGGCACGAAAGCGUGGGGAGCAAACAGG
rnacentral:rRNA from 1 species